AGCGGCCGCGGUAAUUCCAGCUCCAAUAGCGUAUAUUAAAGUUGUUGCAGUUAAAAAGCUCGUAGUUGAAUUUCGGGGUUAGUAGGUUGGUCAUGCCUCUGGUAUGUACUGGUCUCACUGAUUCCUCCUUCCUGAUGAGCCGUAAUGCCAUUAAUUUGGUGUUGCGGGGAAUUUGGACUGUUACUUUGAAAAAAUUUAGAGUGUUUAAAGCAAGCUAACGCUUGAAUACAUUAGCAUGGAAUAAUGAAAUAGGACGUUUGAUUCUAUUUUGUUGGUUUCUAGGAUCGACGUAAUGAUUAAUAGGGAUAGUUGGGGGCAUUAGUAUUCAAUUGUCAGAGGUGAAAUUCUUGGAUUUAUUGAAGACUAACUACUGCGAAAGUAUUUGCCAAGGAUGUUUUCAUUAAUCAAGAACGAAAGUUAGGGGAUCGAAGACGAUCAGAUACCGUCGUAGUCUUAACCAUAAACUAUGCCGACUAGGGAUCGGAUGAUGUUAAUUUUUUAAUGAUUCAUUCGGCGCCUU
rnacentral:rRNA from 1 species